rnacentral:lncRNA from 1 species
UCAUGUACAAAUGAGGGAGGCUACCUUAGAUCUGAUAAAGGACCAUAGAAAAAAUCAUGAAAUAUUGAAGGUAAUUUUCUAUUCUUGGUUGAUUUUUUUGAUAGAUUUUGGCAUAUGUAAUUGGCUGACAUUUAUAAUUCUUUGCAAAUUUUAUGAUUGUUUGAGUUAAGUAAUUGUUGCUGCGACAUGUAUUUCACUGAAAGCUAACUUUAGUUAAAUCCAAAUCUUCAACCCUUUUUCCAUUUCAUCUCCUAAUUAAUAUAAUUGGUCAAAAAAGAAUGGUAUUUUCCAUCUAAUUUCCCCAGAGAUAUUUAUUCAAUUAUAUUUUCUAGUCUAUACUUGCAUUGCAUCUAGCUUAGAAUUUCGUUCUUGCAAUGAAGAAGAAACUAAACUUGAUUUCUCCGAGAUACCAGCCUAACAACUUUGCCUUUGCACCUACUAUCGAUUAUGUGUUUUAGUAAUCAUAUUAUCUAUUAUUAUUCUCACAAUAGAAGCUUCCUCCUCAUAAAAAUAUUUUCAAAAUGAUUUGUUUAGAUUUUGUAGUUAAUUUGUUCGUUUUGAUCCUGAUAUACUUUGUUAUAUUUUUUUAGGCAAAAUUUGAUUUUUAGAGUGACUUGUUCUAGAGGGACAUAUAUUCGGUCACUUUGUGCAGAUUUUGGGAAGGCUCUUGGCAAGUAUUAGUUUCUGCGAGAAACCUUGCAUAAUUGGUAGAAGUUGAGUCUCACACUGUUAUCUUGUUCGUGAUUUAUUUGUUGUUUAAUUUAACCUCUAUAAUUAGUCUUAUGAUUUGAUGUUAUCCCACUAAUGUUCAGUUUUAUACAUAAGCAAUGAAAGUUUU